UACGUAGGGGGCAAGCGUUGUCCGGAAUUUAUUGGGCGUAAAGAGCAGUGUGAGCGGCUCGAUCAGUCCGCUGUGAAAGUCCAGGGCUCAACCCUGGAAAGCCGGUGGAUACUGUCGGGCUAGAGUACGGAAGAGGCGAGUGGAAUUCCUGGUGUAGCGGUGAAAUGCGCAGAUAUCAGGAGGAACACCAAUGGCGAAGGCAGCUCGCUGGGACGAUACUGACGCUGAGACGCGAAAGCGUGGGGAGCAAACAGG
rnacentral:rRNA from 1 species